GGAGUUGGUAGCUCAGUGGUAGAGUGGUCCUUCGUACGUAUGAUGUCCUGGGUUCAAUCGCCAGCAUCUCCC